CUCUGGGGGGGGCCUCCCUGCGGCGCCUGGGCGGGGUGCUCGGCCGCAGGAGAGCCCCUGGGCCCGCCUCGGUGCGGGGCCUCUGGGGAGCGGGGGCUCGCCACCGCCCUCCCGUUCUGUUCGCCCCAGCGGCAGCUCCAUGGGGGGAGUUGAGCAAUAUUUCGGGUUGCCAGUCUUGGUUGGAUCUGUUCUUGGAGGUGUUUUCAUGCGAGAAAUAUUCCAGAAGACUUCAGGCGGAGGGGAAACUUCAGCCCAAAGGGUUACAUUUUGAUUAUCUCAGUUGGGUUCUCCCUAUACUUCCAUGCAAAACAUAACAUGGAACUCUGAUAGCAAAAGCUAAAAAAUUGAUUGUGCAGAGAAGAGAAAUGCACAGUCCAACCCUGCAAAAAGUGUGUGACUGAAGUUUGAGAAAGUGGGAAUGGUUAAAAAAAAACAACCUCAUUUCUGCAUCACCAGGACAAAAUGAAGUGUUCCCAUUUAAAUAUUUGAUGUAUCUAUUGAAAAAGAAUACCUACUUAUUUCUAUAACCUGUAUCCUCCUUCACCUUUCUGCUGUAUGUUAGAUUAAUGUCAAGUCCGGCAUUUGGACUGUAAACUUUUUGGGGGUAGAAAGCUGUCUUCUGUGUGUUUUCCCACUUAACCCAUCUGUGGACACUAUGAAAUAUCAUCUCCACAGCUGUAGGGAGGAGAAGAAAGAAGUCAUGGAACUCUUUGUUCUAAAGUAUUCACUAAUUUAGAGAGUGAAAAAUUCUCUUUUGGAAUAUGAUUAACAAACAAUUGCACAAAUUCUCAGUUUGCAUUUCAGCCCAAUGCUGAGGAUUGGCACAAGGCCCUACUUAUGGGCUGUGCAGUGCAAGGGGGGCUGCCUACAUGCCAUGAGAAAAGACUUCCCCCCCGCCCUCCAGAAGAUCACACCAGGGAGUAGGGCAAGGGAGGGACAGUGGAUCUUCAUUUAUGCUUGUAUAGUGAUGCCAGUACUCUAAAUAGUGCAGAAGGGCAGCUGGAAAACCAGCCAUUAGGGGAAGGUGGGGGAUCUAAGUGGCUGCUGAAAGUAACCAACACAAUGGAUGAAAUUCAUUCUACUUAUAUAAAGCUUCAGUAUUGGGCCUCUAAGGUCUGACACUGCACCAGCAAAGUUAACAGUUUUGACAUGGACUUCAAUGGUGCACAAUCACUCUCUUAGAAUCCAACUCCAAAUUUUAUACAGGGAGAAUGAAUUUCAUGUACUAUGCUGGUUAGUUUCAUAAAUCAUUUGGCAUUGUUUCUGUUCCCUGAUUAGUUACAAAAGACACCCAGCCAUCCAAGUGAAAGUCAUGAAUGUUGUACUUGAAUCUUUACUGAAGAAGUUUUUAAUUGUAUAUUCAAGCAUUCAGUGUUAACUCACUUUUCUUGAUCAUUUCUGUUAAAGCGUGAGAGGUUGAAUGUUUAGAGAAAGCAAACCCAAAGGGGUUACAACUAUAGUCAAAUUGAAAUUUGCCUUUGGAAUUCAAAUGGCUAUUUGUAUACAAUUUUUUCCAUUAUUUAACAUGGUUAUUUUCUCGUGAUGAGCAUAUUGUUUGUUUUGACGUGAAUAAGCGGUAAAUGAAGAUUAAAAAUAAAAUAUAA